rnacentral:rRNA from 1 species
AACGAACGCUGGCGGCAUGCCUAACACAUGCAAGUCGAACGAGACCUUCGGGUCUAGUGGCGCACGGGUGCGUAACGCGUGGGAACCUGCCCUUAGGUUCGGAAUAACUCCCCGAAAGGGGUGCUAAUACCGGAUAAUGUCUUCGGACCAAAGAUUUAUCGCCUUAGGAUGGGCCCGCGUUGGAUUAGCUAGUUGGUAGGGUAAAAGCCUACCACUGCGACGAUCCAUAGCUGGUCUGCGAGGAUGAUCAGCCACACUGGGACUGAGACACGGCCCAGACUACUACGGGAGGCAGAAAUGGGGAAUAUUGGAAAAGGGGCGAAAGGCAGAAGGAGCAAGGAUGGGUGAGUGAUGAAGGUCUGAGGGUAGGAAAGCAAGUUUACCCGGGACGAUAAUGACAGUACCGGGAGAAUAAGCACCGGCUAACUCCGUG